CACGUCAAGUUUCAAGACAGAUUUUUUUUUUUUUUGUCUCCAAGAAGCUAUAUGCUUAAUUCAAUCCAUUGCUUACUGCCCCACAUUUGAUUUUCUACGACAAAUAAAAUCGAAUUCUCCAUUGAUUGCGCCGACGCUCACAUUAUAAUUGUAUGCUAUUAUUAUUGAUUAGUCUUUUGUAUCUUUCUUUUGGGGUGGGGGGGUGGCUGCACUGGUAGCAUUCUACGAAUUUGCGCCGGGUGUUUGUGUGGGUAAGCUUAAGCGGAGAAUAUUCUUGCGCGUUAAGAAAACAAUGCACUUCAGAUAUUUUAAUUAUUGCAGCGAGUUGUAUGAAAGAUCAGUCAAGGGGUUGGAGACGUCGUUAUAGAGAAUCCUAAUUAUUUUUCUAUUGCGUGUGUGUAGUUGGCGUUGAUGCACAGUUUUCUUUAUUUAUUUUGGCUACAUUGCGCUAAUUGCGCUUCCACGCGCUUGCCGACUCGAUCGCAAGGGGACAGCCUGAUCAACAUCAAUAUCAGCAGCGAUGGCGGACUUGCGCUUGCAAAGUUUUCAAUAGUUUUCGCCUUUUAAGUGAUUCUCUUGCUAUUUUAACGUGUGGAGGUUCAUUGUACGUCUGUUUUUUUUUUUUUUUUCAAGUUUGGCAUGUGUUUUAACACAUGGGACAGUGUAGUCUUUUCUUCUUCAGCGGAUGUUUGUACAAGACCCCGUUCACGGACUAUCAGGGCUGGUUCGCAAUCUUUCCAAAGCUUUAGGAGGGACAGGACCAGAUUGUGGGUCUGGAGCAGCAGCGCACCAGACAGGCAUGAACCACACAUAUACCUCUCUGCUGUGUCUACGGAGUACCAGGUCACAAAGCUGCACCCAGGUAGAGGCAGAAUCCAAAAAUGCUCGUUUACUUAGGUAUAGCUACACAUUACAGAAUCCGAGGUCCCCAAGAUUCAUCCGUAGCCCUCCUGUAGCCCACGAGUUCCAUAUUAUUUAUUGGGAUUGAAGAGUAAUGUUUGUGCUGUAUACAUUGUAUCCCUUUAUUCCAGACUAAAUAAUGUGCAUGAAAAAUUAUAUCUUCAUGACUUUACACCAUAGCACCAAUAUCCGUCGUGCGUUGUUUUUGUCUUUGCAAUAGCUAUAGCAAGGAUUUUUAAACAGCCACAAAAGAAAAAAUAAAUGGUCAAGGAACCAAGAAAUGGUGUUUAGCAGCUCCCUUAUUUUUUUAAUCGGUGGCAAGUUUUGCACUCGUGUGUUAGCAACACUGUUUCGCCAGUUGUGUACUUCAGGAGAAGUGUUACCUUUCUGCCUUGGAACUUGGUGGUUUUGUUCUGCCAGCUGCUUGACCAAAACAAGCAAAAUGUACUUCGGAUAUUCCACGAAUUCAUUCUGUAUGCAUUUGGUACAAUAAAAUUUGUUUCAAGAA